rnacentral:rRNA from 1 species
GCCCGCGGUAUCCUAACCGUGCAAAGGUAGCGCAAUCACUUGUUCUUUAAAUAAGGACUAGUAUGAAUGGCGUCAUGAGGAUUAACUUGUCUCUCCCGGUAAUUCUAUGAAACUGAUCUUUCAGUACAAAAGCUGAGAUAACCACAUAAGACGAGAAGACCCUGUGGAGCUUCAGAGUUUUCGGUUGGGGCGACCCUGGAGAAAAACAAAACCUCCAACAAGACCCAACUACGUUUGAUCAAUGAACCAAGUUACCCCAGGGAUAACAGCGCAAUCUUCUUUAAGAGUCCCUAUCGACAAGAAGGUUUACGACCUCGAUGUUGGAUCAGGAUACCCAAUUAGUGCAGCCGCUAUUAACGGUUCGUUUGUUCAACGAUUAAUAUCCUACGUGAUCU